rnacentral:tRNA from 1 species
GCCUGGGUGGCUCAGUCAGUUAAGCGUCUGACUUCAGCUCAGGUCAUGAUCUCGCAGUCUGUGAGUUCGAGCCCCACGUCGGGCU